UCUCCCCCGCCGGGUGCGCCCCCCGGGCCGCGGUUUCCCGCGCGGCGUCUCGCCUCUGCCGGCGCCUAGCAGCCGACUUAGAACUGGUGAGGACCAGGGGAAUCCGACUGUUUAAUUAAAACAAAGCAUCGCGAAGGCCCGCGACAAGCCUUGGAGAUGCUUUGU